UUUUGUAUUUAAUUUUGUUAUUACAGUAAAGGAAUAACCCGUUCAAUGAAAUAUUCUACUUUAAUUAGAUUGUAUUCACUAUUAUAAAAAUAUACAGGUUUUACUACAAUUCAAUCAAAACAGACAAAAAUAUUCAGAAUAUUUUUCACGACAAUUCUGUGAAAAUGCAACAUUUAUUAGCUACAAGCAUUUAUUAAGUUUAUUGCUUAAUCUUUUUUAGAUGAAAUGAUCACAGGCAUCGAAGAACAUGAUUUUAUGGCCAAAGUCACACCAAUGGCAAAUGCUAUAAAAGGUAAUAUUGAUAUAUUGAAGGAGUAGGGGAGGAAAAAGCCUGACUUGAUGGCUUUGACAAGGGUGGAGAAAUUGAGUGGAAAAUGUAUGGGAGGGGUGUCGAUUCCUGUAGUUCGGAAAAUAAGAAUAAAAAAUUCAAAAAACUAGUUAAAGUUAAAUAUUUUUCAAAACUAGAAAACACAUCAGAAACCUGAUAUCUGAGUUUUCCUGACAUCAAAUGUUUAAUAUGAUUGUAUAUAACUUGUAUUAUUAUACCUACAGUAUUAGUUUUAUAUUUGCAUGAGGAACAAGAACUCUUUACCCACUCUAUAGUAAUUCAACAUAAUUUAUUCCCAGGUUUGGGAAAAGUUCUAAUCAAAAACAAUUUGGUAUACAAUAAAUUUAGAUUUUAUGGAGCUACUCAUUUCCCACAUUUUACAUACAAAGUUUAUUUAGAAUGUAUACAACAAUAAUUGGAUUUUGCCCCAUAAAACUGUUUUCGAUAUGAGAUAUAUGGGUUCAGAAGAUGGAUUGAUGAUUAGACAAACAGACAUUUUAGUGAUCUACUAAUGUUGUAGCAGGAGCUGUCAUCAUGUAACAACAGCUAUAACAAAUUCCUGGGUGUACAGUAGUACACACCCAAUUGGAAUGAACUAAUGUUCUUAAAUGCCUAGUUUCACAUAAAAACAAAUCAAUAAAUAAAUUUUUUUUUUCCAGAAAAGCUAAGAAAUGAUGUAGGCCUAAACAAUGAAGAAACUGUGUUCUUCCGCGGCUACAUAAUAUCGCUGAUUUGCAUUCGUAAUGCCUGCAGGUCAGGAGUCAUUACUAACAUGACAACAAAAGAAUUCAACAACGCCCAAAAAAUUCAAAGUGAAUGGUGUGUGACCGUCAGUAACAAAACAUGAAGAAUAUCAUCAAUAUUUUAUAAAUUCGACCUUCCCCCACCACUGAUCCGCCCCUGAAAGCAAUGCUUGAAGCAGAUUUUGUAUAUUUUUUUUCAAUAUUAUUAAUAAGAUAAAGUAGGUGAUGGAUAUGAAACAUAACAAUUAUAAUAAAAUUUAGAAAAAAACUACAAUAAAUCAAUUGUAAAUAACCAAAGUACAAUUAACUUGAAAUUAGCUUUCAAAGCAGAUGCAAAUUUUCAACUAUGCUUACGAAAAUUUUUUUCUAAACUGUUCAUAAAAAAAUCAAUAUUAUAUGGUUUUACAUAUUUCAUAUAGCCCCAUAAUAUAACACGUAAUCACGAAAGCUCCGAUAAGGGCAGUAGUCGGUAUGUUUUACUAUUAAUCAUUUUAAGAAAAAAAACUAACCAAAUGUUUAUUUUAAAAGUAGUUUUUUUUUUUAAUAUUAAUCGUCUGGAAAAAAACAUAAACCAAUGAAAAAAGUAACCCAAGGUUAAUAGUUAACAGUGACUCCUAGAGCUCAUUAUCAGAGCUAAAAAAUGAUGUAACAAGUUUUUUUUUUUUUUUUUUCUAAUUAGAUUAGCAACCACAAGACAGCAAUCCAAGGGCCAUAACAUAGUUCACAACCAGCCUCAACCAGAUGGUACAACAUUCUUUGUAUCUCAAUAUGGCCAAGCGAAGUUAGACCAUGCCAAGACCUAACUAGGUUAUGGCACCAUUUAGGUGUCCGACAAGGAAAAAGUGUAAAUUGUACACACUUUCGAAAGCAACUUGCCACCAUGUCCUGGCGUCAGAACAACGUAGAAAAAAAUCGAAGACUGAUCGCAGAAUAUAUGCAUCACUCACUGGAAACCCAAAAUAAGUAUUACAAGGCAGCACAAGGUGCUAAAGAUGCUUUGAAAGCAAAGCGAAUCCUAAAAAAAAAUAAAAGGAAUUGUACGUACUGUUUGCAAUAUGUUCUACUUAUUAAUAAUAAUAAAACAGCACUUAUUACGUGCCAUCUAUCUACCGAACUAUUCCAAGGCAUGAAAAGAAAAAUUAUUGAAGACAUUAUUUGAAGAGCUACUGAAGGAAAAAAUAACAUAGACAAAGAUGAAAUGAUCACAGGCAUCGAAGAACAUGAUUUUAUGGCCAAAGUCACACCAAUGGCAAAUGCUAUAAAAGGUAAUAUUGAUAUAUUGAAGGAGUAGGGGAGGAAAAAGCCUGACUUGAUGGCUUUGACAAGGGUGGAGAAAUUGAGUGGAAAAUGUAUGAGGGGUGUCCAUUCCUGUUGUUUGGAAAAUAAGAAUAAAAAAUUCAAAAAACUAGUUAAAGUUAAAUAUUUUCCAAAACUAGAAAACACAUCAGAAAUCUGAUAUCUGAGUUUUCCUGACAUCCAAUGUUUAAUAUGAUUGUAUACAACUUAUGUUAUUAUACCUACAGUAUUAGUUUUAUAUUUGCAUGAGGAACAAGAACUCUUUACACACUCUAUUGUAAUUCAACAUAAUUUAUUCCCAGGUUUGGGAAAAGUUCUAAUCAAAAACAAUUUGGUAUACAUUAAAUUUAGAUUUUAUGGAGCUACUUAUUUCCAACGUUUUACAUACAAAGUUGAUUUAAAAUGUAUACAACAAUAAUUAGAUUUUUUCCCAUAAAACUGUUUUCGAUAUGAGAUAUAUGGGUUCAGAAGAUGAUUAGAUGAUGAUUAGACAAACAGACAUUUUAGUGAUCUACUAAUGUUGUAGCAGGAGCUGUCAUCAUGUAACAACAGCUAUAACAAAUUCCUGGGUGUACAGUAGUACACACCCAAUUGGAAUGAACUAAUGUUCUUAAAUGCCUAGUUUCACAUAAAAACAAAUCAACAAAUAAAAAUUUUUUUCCAGAAAAGCUAAGAAAUGAUGUAGGCCUAAACAAUGAAGAAACUGUGUUCAUCCGCGGCUACAUAAUAUCACUGAUUUGCAUUCGUAAUGCCUGCAGGUCAGGAGUCGCUACUAACAUGACAACAAAAGAAUUCAACAAUGCACAGCAAAUUCGAAGUGAAUGGUGUGUGACCGUCAGUAACAAAACAUGAAGAAUAUCAUCAAUAUUUUAUAAAUUCGACCUUCCCCCACCACUGAUCCGCCCCUGAAUGCAAUGCUUGAAGCUGUUUUUUGUAUAUAUUUUUUUUCAAUAUUAUUAAUAAGAUAAAGUAGGUGAUGGAUUAGAAACACAACAAUUAUAAUAAAAUUUAGACAAAACUACAAUAAAUCAAUUGUAAAUAACCAAAGUACAAUUAACUUGAAAUAGGCUUUCAAAGCAGAUGCAAAUUUUCAACUAUGCUUACAAACUUUUUUUUUUCUAAAGUGUUCAUAAAAAAUCAAUAGUACAUGGUUUUACAUAUUUCAUAUAGCUCCCAUAAUACAACACGGUCUAGUAAUCACGAAAGCUCCGAUAAGGGCAGUAGUCAGUAUUUUUUACUGUUAAUCAUUUGAAAAAAAACCUAACCAAAUGUUUAAUUUAAAAGUAGUUUUUUUUUUUUAAUAUUAAUCGUCUGAAAAAAAAAUAAACCGAUUAGUAUAGUGAAAAACAGGGCCCCUGUGACCAUUUUCCGGGGACCAAGGUUUCUCUGCUGAUUCAGCACCACUAGGGUAUAAUAAAAAAAUGAGCGGGGGUGAGCCUCCUGAAAAAGGGCGGAUCAUGUUUUUUGGUGGCCAUUUUAAAAAUGGCCGCUAAAAUCAAGAGAAUGGCUCAUAACUUUACUUCUACUACAUGAAAAAGGGUAAAUCUGGUGUCUAACUAUAUGUUAGUAGGGUCACUGAAUUCAAUUAGACAUGCUUCAAAAACCUAGGAUGGCAGACAUUUUGAAAUUCAAGAUGGCUACCAUAGUAAUCUAUAAAAAUCAAAUAUUCCAGUAUAAUUCCACUUCCUGUCGUUGAAAAAUGGUAAAUUUGAUGUCUACUCAUAUGUAAUUAGGCUCUCUUUAAGAAUAACUUCAAUAAGCUAGGAUGACAGCCUUUUGGAAAUCCAAAUGGCCACCACAUAAAUUGUCAAAAAUCAAAUAUUUUGUUAUAUAAUUGCAUUUUUCCUCGCUCAAAAAUGUUAAAUUUGGGGUCUAAUCAUAUUUUAUGAUAACCCAAGGUUAAUAGUUACCAGUGACUCUUAGAGCUCAUUAUCAGAGCUAAAUAAUGAUGUAACAAGUGUUUUUUUUUUUUUUUUCUAAUUAUUAGAUAAGCAGCCACAAGACAGCCACCCAAGGGUCUGUGUUACUAAUCCUAGAAAAGGACUUGGUAGAAAUGACUACUAUGUAUAAAAACAACCAGCCUGAACUAGAUGGUACAACAUCCUUUGUAUCUCAAAAUGGUCAAGGCGAAGUUAGACCAUGCCAAGACCUAACUAGGUUAUGGCACCAUUUAGGUGUCUGACAAGGAAAAAGUGUAAAUUGUACACACUUUCGAAAGCAACUUGUCACCAUGGUAAGACCUAUUUCAACCUGUGAUUAAUUCUUUCACUUGGAUUAAAAACAUAUAUAAAUGUGCUCUAUUUAUAUCAUGAUCGAUCCAUUCUCUUUUUAAAGCGGAUUAUUAGUGACACUUUUUAAGCGGCAGCCUGGUACCUCCUUUUACCUUUUUCCAAAAUUGGUUUCAUUAUUUAUAAAUCACAUAUUAAAGCUGCUAUUACAUAAAAAAUUAAUGACUUAAGAACUUUAAUUUCUGGGAAAAAACCACUUAACAGUUGAUUAGGUUCGCUUUUUGGUUUUUCUCACUCUUUUUAUUUUGUUUCUCUUUGCAUCUGAAAUGUACUGAAAUUUAUAUAUGAAAAAUACCCUAGUAGUGUAAUAUAUUUUUAUUUUUUUGUUCCUUAUAUAUGUGAUUAUAGAAUUAGGAUUUCUUAUUUUACAGUCCUGGCGUCAGAACAACGUAGAAAGAAAAUCGAAGACUGAUCGCAGGAUAUAUGCAUCACUCCUGGAAACCCAAAAUAAGUAUUAUAAGGCAGCAAAAGGUGCUGAAGACGCUUUGAAAGCAAAGCGAAUCCUAAACAAAAUAAAAGGAAUUGUACGUACUGUUUGCAAUAUGUUCUACUUAUUAAUAAUAAUAAUAACAAUAACAAUAACAAUAACAAUAAAUAAUAAUAAUAAUAAUAAUAAUAAUAAUAAAACAGCACUUAUUACGUGUCAUCUAUCUACCGAACUGUUCCAUUAAUAAAUUGAAUUAAAAUACAUUAUUUGAUUUUUAAGCUGUAGUUUGUUGAUAUUCAUUGUAAAACACAGGAAGACAAGAAAGUAUAAUACAUACUCCUAGCAUCAAAAUCAAUGGCGGUGCUACGGUGGGCCAGGGUUCAACAACACCCUGCUUCCCCCCCCCCCCCAGUUGGGGAGAAAACCACAAUUUGUCCGGGAGAAACUUUUUUUUAAAAGGUAUUUUUAACAUAUUAAUAGACUCUAAAAUCAAUUAUGCCUUUGAAAUCCAUACUUUGUCCUAUUUUGGGGCCUCCGCCCCUUGGACCACUUUUGAAAGGUUUUUAGCGACGUCCGACUACACCCACUUUGUUCUCUUUUAAAUUGCCACGAGGUUGACGACAUUUGUUUAUGUGUAUGGGAAAAAAGCCUUUUUUUGGUGAAGGUUUGUAUGCUUUGUUUGUCUUUUGUGUCUUUGUUAUGAAAUAAGUUUUUAAAAAGGUUUUGAACUGAACAAUUAUAUUAUUUAUAACAGAACUGUCGACGAACACGAACAGUAUUUAGCGAUUUCGAUAUAGGCCUUCUGAAGACAUUAUUUGAAGGGCUACACAAGGAAAAAAUAACAAAGACAAAGGUUAGUACAGUGCAAUUUAAAGAAGCUCUUCAAAACUUUAAUAUCGAGAUUUGGAUUUUCAACGACCUUGUGUACUAUGAUUUCAAAUGGAGCUUGCCAUACAGACCCAAAGACUUACUUCCGCACAUUGUUGCAUUGCCCUACUCUGGGAUACUUACAUUAUAAAACAUGUUGCUGUUGUUUGGAAAACUUAUUCAAACCCAAAGGGUGAGACUCAAAAGUCCAUUUUGAGUCUCCCAAUUUAUUAUUAUUAUUAUUAUUAUUAUUAUUAUUAUUAUUAUUAUUAUUACUAUUAUUAUUAUUUUUACUAUUAUUAUUAAAUUAUUCAUUUAUAUUUAUACUUUAUAUUUAUGGAUAUUAUUUUUAAUUUGUUUUUGUCCUUUUGCAUAUAUUUACCUAAUUUGCAUUCAAACAAAUUUUCAUAUUUUUAAUAAAGGGCCCUGAACAUCAACUGGCCGUCUUGGUCCAGUUGGAAUGGUUACACUCUAUAAACAGAGUUUGAAUAAAGAAUAAAGAUAAAACUGAAGAAAAUUGAAUAUAUUAAUUUUUUUUUAUAUAUAUAAGCUUUAAAAUGUUGUCAUUAAAUGGAAUUUACCUACCAUAUCCAAUAUAUGGGUGAAAGUAUUAUAUAUUGCCACAUUCUUAACAAUUAGUGACAUUAUGCUGUUUUUUGUGAUGGAAGGCCCUAGGUAAUCACAAAUCACAAGUUCCUAAUGUUAAAGAGAUAAAUAUUAGAAUGGAAUGACCUGUUCGAAGCAUGAACUCCUGUAGACCAAACCAAACCCAGUACCAUUACGAUUUUUAAUCAUACGGGAAAUCUACUCACGAUCUAUUAGUGAAAAAUAAUAAUAAAUUUACUGAACCCUAAAAAAAAUAUAUGGUUUUUAUUAUAAUUUAGGACAAAUGUACAGUUCUAUAAACACUUAAAAAGUAUCCAAUAAAAUUUCAUAUGAAUACAGGUACGCUUGCAUAUACAUGUACACCUGAGAGAACGGUCCACCUCUUUUAACUUGUGUGUUGAAAAUGAGACAGAUUUCCCACAUUUUGUGGACCGUAUUGUGCAUAAUCCAGAUAAAAAUUUGCAUCGUGAGUGGAUUUCCCAUACGAUUAAAAAUAGUAACGGUAAUGGGUUUGGUCUACAAGAGUUCGUGCUUCGAACAGGUCAUUCCAUUCGUAGAAGAAGCAUUUUGAUGGAAAAAGUGUACCUUUUUAGCAAAGGUUUUCUGGGUCGAAACUAACUGUAUAGUAGGUGUGACUGGCACUACAAUUUUAUGGUUUAUAUUUUGUGAGGUUGAGGUUUUGAAAUCUGUACUGAUACACUGAAUACCACUGUGCUAAUGUAUUCAAUGCAACAGUAAUAUAAACUUACUUAAAUUUUCUAAAAUUGCACCAAGUAAAUUCACAAUGCAAGUUCGAUCAGUGAAAACUCACUGAGGUUUUGCCAAUGCAAGCAAAGAAUACAAUAUUUUAAUACAUAUUAUUUUCUGACUGUUUCUGUUUAUAGGUAUUGUUUUUAUAACAAAACAUUUUUUAAUAAUAUUUUCAGGUCAAUGAAACCUACACUUAUCGUGGAAAUGUGUCUACGACAAAUUAAGAAAUAUCCAAAAGGAAAAUAAAUAGCUUAUUCGAUUGCUGGUUGGUAAAAUUAAAAUACUUUAAAAAUCAUACACUUCUAUUACUUCUAUUACCAUUAUUACAUUUAUUGUUAUUGAUAUUGCCAAUAACAUUUUUUAAAUUGAUAUUACUGUUAUGGCCUAUCAUAUUUUUUGCAUAUUUGGAUUCUUUUUAUAUUUCUCUUUGUUCAGGACCCCUUACUAUCAGCUCUCCAUUAAUGGUGAGCUGUACGGACUACCCUCAUUAAAUAAAGUUCAAAUAAAAAUAAAAUAAAAAGUGGCAUGCAGUCAUUAGAUAAUGUAAUACUAGUUUUAAGCAGUUUUUAAAUAAUGCCAUAAGCAAUUUAUGCAAUUAUUAAUUAAAGUAAUUGUUAGAUCAGGUUGUUUUGACUAAUGCAGUAAACAGUUUAUGCAAUCAUUGAAUAGUAAUUGAUACAAGUCAAAAAUCAAUUAAACUAAUUAUUGGGUUAGGCAGUUGUGGAAUAAUAAGCUUGAAAAUACUAUAAAGACAAUAAGGUACACAAAUUGAUUUGUUUUAUUAAAGUGUUACUUUAUGAGAAUGAAGAAGUAGGAACAUUUGGCAUUGGAGAAAGAAAUGAAAGAGGAGAGCGACUACUAAAAUUUGUUGCAAGCAGAAACCUGUUCAUUAGAAACACAUUCUUAAAAAAUAAGAAUGAUAGAUACUGGACUGGAAAGUCCUAAUGCAGCAACACACGUCUUAUUUGUAGGUUCUAAAUCCCUAUUUUUAGUUAUUUAUAUUCUUUAAGCUAUCUUUGUAAAGUCAAGCAUAUCCUGAUUUGCAUUUGCUACAACAUGAGUAUAACUUGAGUAUAUCAUAAACUGAGCUUGCCACUUCCUUAGUUACAGGCUAUCUGCUUAGUUAAGAUGCUUAACCACAGUUACAGGAAUAAAUGGUAGUAGUGUACUGUACUGUAGAUGGAAGUGUCCAUAUAAUAAGCUGAGUACAGUAUAUUGAAGGCUGUUGUUUUAAGUUAAAGUAUUGAUUUAAAGCUGAAAUUAGUCCUUGUAAGAAGGCUCAACCUUUGGUGAGUUACUUUAAUUAGUUUGAUUUUACUUGAUAGGCAUAUUAUUAUGAUUGAUUAUUUUGUUCUGUUGUUUAUACCUGGCCUAGUAUGUUUCUUAAACGUUCAUUGGCAUUCCUAUGCAUUACAGUUGACUUUGUCACUAGUAAAUGUAUCCUAUGCCUAGUUAAUCUAAAUGAGAAUACUGUACAUUCAUAUUUUUUAGGACUGCAUUUUGUAUUCUUGAGUUAGGCUUAAUUUAUGAAUAUUUCAUUUGAGAAUUUUUUUAUUGUUUUCUUUAACUGUUUCAGUUAAUCGGCAUAUGGAAACGUUGUAUCAUUUGCUCUCCAAGGUCGCCCUAACCAUUGGAGAAAACUACAUUUUUUCCACAAAAGUAAUGUUUUUGGUACAGAAUAUAUGAUGUAAAAAAUAUUAAUCUACCAAUUCGUGAAGAAAAAAUUUUAAAAAUCACUACAGUUUGUCGGAAUAUGCAUAUUUAUAACAGCUCCUUACGCCGAUUUAGAUAGGGAAUUUCAAGAAAUUUGAGGUUUUUGGCUGUUCUGAGCUCAUUUCUUACUCCCUCACUCACAGACUAUUUCUUUGAGAAUUGGCUCAAGUUGAUUCGUGGAGGGAAUAUAAUAAGCUUGAAGCUGAUAUAAAACUUAGUAUGAUUGGUUGGGUAGUUUUAUCAGAAAAUAAAAAAUCCAUCCAAUCCACGAUUGCCUCUCUUGGGGUAAAAAAAUCUCUCAAGCGUGAUAGUCCGAUUUAUUGGUAUGACGUCAUACUUCUGUUUACUUGACUUGUGUUCACCGUGUUUGACUUCUUUCUACAUGUAAUUUGGCCUUAUUAAUUAUCAGUUGGAUUUUUUGUGUGCUUUUAUUACCUUUAUUACAAAACAAAUGUCCCAAGACAAGAUACUUGCAGCAAUUAGGCUAUAUUUCUGCAAAAAAAUGCAAUAUAUAUUCUGGACCAUUUCAAAGUGUCAAUAGGGGUGUAGCGUAGUGCUAAGCCAAUCCCGCCAACACAAAAGCGUGGACUAGGGGAAGAGAGAUCCCAACAUUUGUUCACUUUACAACAUUGUACUAUGUGUACUGUUAAAUGUGUGUUCAAAUACAAGUUUUAACAAAAGAAUAUUGACUGUGCAAAUUGAAUUUCGUUAGAUAUUAACCCCAUAAUGAUCCAUACUACAUGUACAGCAGGGUUGAUUUGACCUCAGUUCGCUGCUUUCUUGAUAGCUGGACUAGCAAAUGAUAAAAAGUGGCAAAAACGUUUCCAUAUGUUGACGGUUUAUAGUAGUUGAACAGUCAAUUGAAGUAUUUGAUUGGUUUUCAAGAAGUAAGGAAACAUAGAAACCAUACCGAAUUAGCAAGUGUGUCAUUGGCUAAUUACAUUAUUAACAAAGGCAUAAUUCAGUGUAAAAGGAAAGCUAGCCUAACCAUUUUCUUAAAUUGUUCAAAGAGAUACAUGUGUUCAUUGAUAGUUGACAUUAACGAUAGCUCAUUAAUUGAUUACGUUGGUGGCGCUGUCGUUUAUUUCCCGUACUUAUAUUGGUUAUGAAGUUAUAAUAAAAUUUUAAAAUGGCGACCACUUUAGACGCCAUCUUCAAAGCUCCAGGAGGAUUUUUAGUAUGUUAUUUUACUCAUGUUUCUGGACCUAUCCUGAAAAAUUCAGCUUGUUACGAGGCAUUUCCAGGUUAAACACCAAUGCGCUUGGACUAUCUAUACUCUUUGGUUUAGUGAAAAUGAACCUGCAACAAUCAACAAAGCCAGGAAAGAAAGAGAAACCAAGGGAAGUAUUGGAGUUGCCAAUAAAAGAAAGAUAGCGAUGUUUAACUUCUCAUCUUAAGAUCAAAACAGUCAAAAAAAUUCACAAGCCAGUGUCUACACCUUACUGUGAAUUGAUAAUGUUGGAUGAAGAUGGCUGUCGUCAAAAAAAUGUUUACAGACUCGUUUCUUGGAACUGUCAAGAGGCCAUUUUAAAGUCAUGAAGGAUCAAAGAAGAUAAAUAGACAUACACUGGCAAUGGCAGAUUUUGAACCACAGAGAAAUUGAACUUGAUAAAUCCAAACAGAAAAGACAAAGACAAUGAAAAAAAGGAUUAUUGAUGGGAAGGUUUGCCUAGGCAUAUAAGCAAACGUAUU